rnacentral:tRNA from 1 species
UUCCUGGAAGUCUAGUGGUUAGGACUCUGUGCUUCCACUGCAGGGGGCACGAGUUUGAUCCCUGUUCGGGGAA